GACGAACCGGUCGAACGUUAUUCGGAAUCAUUGGGCUUAAAGGGUGCGUAGGCGGUGCGGAAAGUUGGGUGUGAAAGCCCUCGGCUCAACCGAGGAAUUGCGCCCAAUACUGCCGUGCUAGAGGGAGACAGAGGUGAGCGGAACUGAUGGUGGAGCGGUGAAAUGCGUUGAUAUUAUCAGGAACACCAGUAGCGAAAGCGGCUCACUGGGUCUCUUCUGACGCUGAGGCACGAAAGCUAGGGUAGCGAACAGGAUUAGAUACCCUUGUA
rnacentral:rRNA from 1 species